GACGGGUGAGUAACGCGUGGGAACGACCUUUUUGCUACGGAAUAACUCAGGGAAACUUGUGCUAAUACCGUAUGUGCCCUUCGGGGAAAGAUUUAUCGGCAAAGGAUCGGCCCGCGUUGGAUUAGCUAGUUGGUGAGGUAUAGGCUCACCAAGGCGACGAUCCAUAGUUGGUCUGAGAGGAUGAUCAGCCACACUGGGACUGAGACACGGCCCAAACUCCUACGGGAGGCAGCAGCU
rnacentral:rRNA from 1 species